GUCCACGCCGUAAACGAUGGAUACUAGCUGUUGGGCGCAAGUUUCAGUGGCUAAGCGAAAGUGAUAAGUAUCCCACCUGGGGAGUACGUUCGCAAGAAUGAAACUCAAAGGAAUUGACGGGGCCCGCACAAGCGGUGGAGCAUGUGGUUUAAUUCGAUGAUACGCGAGGAACCUUACCAAGGCUUAAAUGUAGUUUGACCGUUUUGGAAACAGAACUUUCGCAAGACAAAUUACAAGGUGCUGCAUGGUUGUCGU
rnacentral:rRNA from 1 species